GACGAACGCUGGCGGCGUGCCUAAUACAUGCAAGUCGAACGCACUCUCGUUUAGAUUGAAGGAGCUUGCUCCUGAUUGAUAAACAUUUGAGUGAGUGGCGGACGGGUGAGUAACACGUGGGUAACCUGCCCUAAAGUGGGGGAUAACAUUUGGAAACAGAUGCUAAUACCGCAUAAAACCUAAACACCGCAUGGUGUAGGGUUGAAAGAUGGUUUCGGCUAUCACUUUAGGAUGGACCCGCGGUGCAUUAGUUAGUUGGUGAGGUAAAGGCUCACCAAGACCGUGAUGCAUAGCCGACCUGAGAGGGUAAUCGGCCACACUGGGACUGAGACACGGCCCAGACUCCUACGGGAGGCAGCAGUAGGGAAUCUUCCACAAUGGACGAAAGUCUGAUGGAGCAAACGCCGCGUGAGUGAAGAAGGUUUUCGGAUCGUAAAACUCUGUUGUUGGAGAAGAAUGUAUCUGAUAGUAACUGAUCAGGUAGUGACGGUAUCCAACCAGAAAG
rnacentral:rRNA from 1 species